rnacentral:rRNA from 1 species
AUUGAACGCUGGCGGCAUGCCUUACACAUGCAAGUCGAACGGUAACAGGUUAAGCUGACGAGUGGCGAACGGGUGAGUAAUGUAUCGGAACGUGCCCAGUCGUGGGGGAUAACUGCUCGAAAGAGCAGCUAAUACCGCAUACGACCUGAGGGUGAAAGCGGGGGAUCGCAAGACCUCGCGCGAUUGGAGCGGCCGAUAUCAGAUUAGGUAGUUGGUGAGGUAAAGGCUCACCACGCCGACGAUCUGUAGCUGGUCUGAGAGGACGACCAGCCACACUGGGACUGAGACACGGCCCAGACUCCUACGGGAGGCAGCAGUGGGGAAUUUUGGACAAUGGGCGCAAGCCUGAUCCAGCCAUGCCGCGUGCGGGAAGAAGGCCUUCGGGUUGUAAACCGCUUUUGUCAGGGAAGAAAAGGUUCUGGCUAAUACCUGGGACUCAUGACGGUACCUGAAGAAUAAGCACCGGCUAACUACGUG